rnacentral:rRNA from 1 species
UACGGGGGGAGCAAGCGUUGUUCGGAUUUACUGGGCGUAAAGGGCGCGUAGGCGGCCACCGCAAGUCGACUGUGAAAUCUCCGGGCUUAACCCGGAAAGGUCAGCCGAUACUGCGGGGCUAGAGUGCAGAAGGGGCAACUGGAAUUCUCGGUGUAGCGGUGAAAUGCGUAGAUAUCGUAAGGAAGACCAGUGGCGAAGGCGGGUCUCUGGACAGUUCCUGACGCUGAGGCACGAAGGCCAGGGGAGCAAACGGG